CGGGAGGAGUGGACAAGCGGCGCAUGACAAUUUGAGUUGCAGGGAUUUGACAAAAACAUCCUUUUAGAAAUGCGUGAGGAAGGUCAAGACUCUGGUCUCCAGCUCACCGCUCUCUCUUACAUUUCCAUGGCCAUUUUGUCCGAUAGUAUUAUUGGAUUUUUCUAUGCUAUAUAUAUAUUUUUUAUGUUUAGUUAUUCUGUGCUCCAUAAUUAUAAAUAAUAGUUUAUUUUCCUUGUGA